AGAGACAACCACAUCCAGCUACAAUCAACCAGGAACCACCACACCAACAACAGUGAUCUCUACAACUCAACCAACUCAAUCUUACUCCAGCCAUUCAACAUUUAACUCAACAAAAGAUCAAACUACAGGUUUCAGCCACAGUCAACCAGAAGACAAAACACCAUCACAAGACCCAUCUGCCAAGCGAUCUUUCACACGUUGUUGUAUGAAAGAAAUCAAGUAGCCAGUCUGAGGACACUGUAUGCUUAUCAGAUUUACUACAAAAACUGUAAGAAUCUUAUUUGAUCCUGUCUGUGAAAUGCAGGCUAAAAUGUUAAAAUCCUUUAUUGAGAUUAGAAGUUUCAAAGUUUGAUUUCAAUAAUUGAUUUCACAUUUCAAGCAUUGACAUGACCUUACUCAUUCAAUAUUAAUAUCCAGGUUAUGAUUCAUACAAUGUUCUUGGAUGAUUUUAUAGAAAACAGUAACUCACAAAUAAAGACUUUCGCUGGGUUUUCACAUCGAAGUGCAAUAAAUGUUUUAGGAAAAGCAUUUCAGGUGAAUGUAGUAAUCAAAAUAUAUUCAUUUGCAUUUCUAUGCGUUUGUUUAUCAGUUCCACAGAUCUUGUUCCCUGUUGUUUUUUGGUACAAAAGAUACCGUUUAACUAAAGCCUUUCCUUUUUUAAAGAUGUUAUUAUAAGUGGUUAUCAAGUGUUAGCAGGAUCUGUGGUUGUGCUUCUGCUAUUAAACAUGUUUCCUCUUUGCAG